UAACGGCCCAUGGACGAUGUGA
rnacentral:siRNA from 1 species